AAAAGAUCGAAGUUGGUGUAAGCACUUAAAUAGCAAGAAUCUUGUCCGGAGGGAAAGUUUGGCACAAUGAUGGCGUUCCUGGGUGAAUGCACUGCUGCGACUGUGGAAAUUACAUGUGUAUGUCGACAGGAAAAAGAAAGUUUCUGACUUAAUUUAGUUCAGAUGAGACGUCCUAGAAAAGUGGAAGGGGCUGUUUAUAUGAGGGGAGGAAGGUGACCGAGGAGCAGAGUGGUCAGUGGCAUCUACUGUAGUGCCAUGAAGUGACCGUUCUUCGCCCUCGUCUUCUCUCUUGUAGAGCCCUUCAUCUCCAAGGGAGACGUCAGGGAACAUGACUGGAGAUGCAGCCACAGCAAGAGAAGAAUCAUGAGGUAGGUUUGUACGUUAGGUCAUUCUAAAGGCUGGCUAAAUAUUUAAAAGUAUAUACAGUAGCUGUCUGUAUCGCUUCAGAGAAAGUACAGUAAUGUAAGCACGCAAUGUUGUCAUUAAUGUGAGGUGGAGGUUGGAACCAUUCAUGAUGUUGGUGAUGCAGAAGAGGAGGAUGGACCUUCCUCCUGCUUCACCUGGUGCUGCUGCAGCUCCUGCACCUGCCUCUUGAGGUUAACACUUUUGUCCUUAUACAGAUGAUUAUUACUACUGCCUAUCAAUUUUCAUUAUGUAAAGGACACCAAAGGAAGAGACCAAUGGAGGGAGGGAUCCCCGGAUGCUCAAGCAACUCCCAGCUCAGAAGAUGAGAUAGUUUUCAAGGUCCUGGUUCCUUUAACGCAGAAAUUGUCAACACAAAUAAAAGAGCACAUACAUUUAAAAUGUUCAAGUUAUUUUACCAAGCAAAACAACAGCUGAUUGAAAUUUUAUUUUCUUUGUAUCAGUAUCAUUAAAGGAACUGGACGCCGCGCCACAUCCUCCCCCUCUUGACCCUCAUCCCUCCAGGGUCAAUCCUUCAAAACACACCUACGUAGUUCACUUCAGGUCAGAUUAUGA